rnacentral:rRNA from 1 species
AGGACGAACGCUGGCGGCGUGCUUAACACAUGCAAGUCGAGCGGAAAGGCUCCUUCGGGGGUACUCGAGCGGCGAACGGGUGAGUAACACGUGGGUAAUCUGCCCUUCACUUGGGGAUAACGUCCAGAAAUGGGUGCUAAUACCCGGUAUUCACAUGUGGUUGCAUGACUGUGUGUGGAAAGGUUUUCUGGUGGGGAUGUGCUCGCGGCCUAUCAGCUUGUUGGUGGGGUAAUGGCUUACCAAGGCUUUGACGGGUAGCCGGCCUGAGAGGGUGACCGGCCACACUGGGACUGAGACACGGCCCAGACUCCUACGGGAGGCAGCAGUGGGGAAUAUUGGACAAUGGGCGGAAGCCUGAUCCAGCAACGCCGCGUGAGGGAUGACGGCCUUCGGGUUGUAAACCUCUUUCAGUAUCGACGAAGCGCAAAUGACGGUAGGUACAGAAGAAGGACCGGCCAACUACGUGCCAGCAGCCGC